rnacentral:SRP_RNA from 1 species
GCCGGGCGCGGUGGCUCGCGCCUGUAAUCCCAGCACUUUGGGAGGCUGAGGCAGGUGGAUCACCUGAGGUCAGGAGUUUGAGACCAUCCUGGCCAACACGGCGAAACCCUGUCUCUA